UACGAAGGGGGCUAGCGUUGUUCGGAAUCACUGGGCGUAAAGCGCACGUAGGCGGCUCUUUAAGUCAGGGGUGAAAUCCUGGAGCUCAACUCCAGAACUGCCUUUGAUACUGGGGAUCUCGAGUCCGGAAGAGGUGAGUGGAACUCCGAGUGUAGAGGUGAAAUUCGUAGAUAUUCGGAAGAACACCAGUGGCGAAGGCGACUCACUGGUCCGGUACUGACGCUGAGGUGCGAAAGCGUGGGGAGCAAACAGG
rnacentral:rRNA from 1 species